UUCUAAAGAAGAGGAGAAUGAAAAUCAAAUCGUUGUGGGUGAAAUUGGAAAGGGCGAGGGGUUUAAUAUAGUUGGGGAUUACAGAAAAAAUUUGCCUCCUAUUGAUGAUGUAUGCCCAAUUUGUUUCGAUAGGUUCACCAUUCCAUGCAGAACUAAUUGCGGUCAUUGGUAUUGUGCCAGUUGCAUAUUGGAGUUUUGGGCGUUUAGAUCGUCUAUCCGACCAUGCAAAUGUCCACUGUGUUCUUGUCACAUUACUAACUUGGUUCCCACGAUAUCUCGGCUUAUUGGACAGGACGAGGAUGUCAUUGUCGUCGUCCAGAAAGUUCGGCAGUAUAAUAGCCUCUAUAUUGGUGGAUUUUGUGGCUUUUUCCUG